UACGUAGGUGGCAAGCGUUGUCCGGAUUUACUGGGUGUAAAGGGCGUGCAGCCGGAGAGACAAGCCAAAUGUGAAAUCCACGGGCUCAACCCGUGAACUGCAUUUGAAACUGUUUCCCUUGAGUGUCGGAGAGGUAAUCGGAAUUCCUUGUGUAGCGGUGAAAUGCGUAGAUAUAAGGAAGAACACCAGUGGCGAAGGCGGAUUACUGGACGAUAACUGACGGUGAGGCGCGAAAGCGUGGGGAGCAAACAGG
rnacentral:rRNA from 1 species